rnacentral:rRNA from 1 species
UUUUCCUACGGGGCGCAGCAGUGAGGAAUAUUGGUCAAUGGGCGCGAGCCUGAACCAGCCAAGUAGCGUGAAGGAUGACUGCCCUACGGGUUGUAAACUUCUUUUAUAAAGGAAUAAAGUGAGGCACGUGUGCCUUUUUGUAUGUACUUUAUGAAUAAGGAUCGGCUAACUCCGUGCCAGCAGCCGCGGUAAUACGGAGGAUGCGAGCGUUAUCCGGAUUUAUUGGGUUUAAAGGGUGCGUAGACGGUUUUUUAAGUUAGUGGUUAAACGUCGGGGCUUCACCUUGAUUUGCCAUUAAUACUGUA